rnacentral:tRNA from 3 species
GGCCCUGUCUUCUAGUGGUUAGGAAGUCGCGCUUUCAAUGCGAAAACACGGGUUCGAUUCCCGUCAGGGCCG